UAUAUAUUUAUAGGUAAUAAAGUAUGAAUCUUAAAAUUGAUCAAACAUAUUUCUUAUUUUCUUCAUGCAAAAUUAGAAAAAUAUGACUCAAAUUUCCAAAAUUGUUUAUGGUUUGAUAAUCUUUCUUUCUCUAAUUGUUGAAAUUUAUGGAGGUUAUUUUCCUUGCAAACAUUGGCGUGAUUGUCCAAAAAAUUUGUGUUUCAGUCCUCAACGUAGGAAGUGUGUUGAUUUCUAUUGUGCAUGCGGGCCGCCUUUGAGAUAGGAAGUGAACUUUGAUCACCUUAUGGCAUAACAAGAACAUUAGAUGGAAGCAAUACACAUGAGGCAUAUCAUUAGAGUUCUUCAAAUUAUGCAUGAUUUCCUAGUGGAACUUUUAUGAUCUAAAAGUAUUUUAUUAUGAUAAUAGCUUAAGACAAUGGACACAUGAACUAUUGGUUGUAUUAAUAUUUUAAAAAUAGAUUGUGAUAUUGAUAUCAAACAUCUGUACUUAUUUUGUAAUUUUGAAGAAGUAUACAUAUAUAUAUAU